rnacentral:rRNA from 1 species
UACGUAGGGCGCAAGCGUUAUCCGGAUUCAUUGGGUUUAAAGGGAUCGUAGGUGGCCUUAUAAGUCAGUGGUGAAAUCUCUGGGCUUAACCCAGAAAUUGCCAUUGAUACUGUAGGGCUUGAGUAUAGUUGCCGUUGGCGGAAUAUGACAUGUAGUGGUGAAAUACAUAGAGAUGUCAUAGAACACCGAUUGCGAAGGCAGCUGACGAAACUAUAACUGACACUGAGGCUCGAAAGUGUGGGGAUCAAACAGG